AUUGUACUCUUCCGUCCAACAAAAGAUGUCUCAAGUUUGUCAAAAUUUGAAUGUAUCUAGACAUGACUUAUUGUAUAGAUGCAUUCAAAUUUACUCAAAGUUGUGACAUUCUUUAUUGGACGGAGGAAAGUAUGAG
rfam:Brachypodium distachyon strain Bd21 chromosome 5, whole genome shotgun sequence.